rnacentral:rRNA from 1 species
GUGAGGAAUUUUCCGCAAUGGGCGAAAGCCUGACGGAGCAAUGCCGCGUGAAGGAUGAAGGCCUAUGGGUUGUAAACUUCUUUUCUUAGAGAAGAAUAUUGACGGUAUCUGAGGAAUAAGCAUCGGCUAACUCUGUGCCAGCAGCCGCGGUAAGACAGAGGUUGCAAGCGUUAUCCGGAAUGAUUGGGCGUAAAGCGUCUGUAGGUGGCUUCAAAAGUCUCCUGUCAAAGAUCAGGGCUUAACCCUGGGCCGGCAGGAGAGACUCUGGGGCUAGAGUUUGGUAGGGGCAGAGGGAAUGCCCGGUGGAGCGGUGAAAUGCGUAGAGAUCGGGAGGAACACCAAAGGCGAAAGCACUCUGCUGGGCCACAACUGACACUGAGAGACGAAAGCGAGGGGAGCAAAAGGGAUUAGAAACCCGUGUAGUCC